UGGCAAGUCUCAUACGACUAGCUCCUGCAGAACUCCCCCAGGGUCGGAAGACAGCAAGGGUAUGUGGUUGUAGCGGUGCGAUGUGAGUAGCUUGCCACAU
rnacentral:SRP_RNA from 1 species